rnacentral:rRNA from 1 species
GAUCCUGGCUCAGAUUGAACGCUGGCGGCAGGCCUAACACAUGCAAGUCGAGCGGUAACAGGGGUAGCUUGCUAUCCGCUGACGAGCGGCGGACGGGUGAGUAAUGCAUAGGAAUCUGCCCGGUAGUGGGGGAUAACCUGGGGAAACCCAGGCUAAUACCGCAUACGUCCUACGGGAGAAAGGGGGCUUCGGCUCCCGCUAUUGGAUGAGCCUAUGUCGGAUUAGCUAGUUGGUGAGGUAAAGGCUCACCAAGGCAACGAUCCGUAGCUGGUCUGAGAGGAUGAUCAGCCACAUCGGGACUGAGACACGGCCCGAACUCCUACGGGAGGCAGCAGUGGGGAAUAUUGGACAAUGGGGGCAACCCUGAUCCAGCCAUGCCGCGUGUGUGAAGAAGGCCCUCGGGUUGUAAAGCACUUUCAGCGAGGAAGAACGCCUAGUGGUUAAUACCCAUUAGGAAAGACAUCACUCGCAGAAGAAGCACCGGCUAACUCCGUGCCAGCAGCCGCGGUAAUACGGAGGGUGCAAGCGUUAAUCGGAAUUACUGGGCGUAAAGCGCGCGUAGGUGGCUUGAUAAGCCGGUUGUGAAAGCCCCGGGCUCAACCUGGGAACGGCAUCCGGAACUGUCAGGCUAGAGUGCAGGAGAGGAAGGUAGAAUUCCCGGUGUAGCGGUGAAAUGCGUAGAGAUCGGGAGGAAUACCAGUGGCGAAGGCGGCCUUCUGGACUGACACUGACACUGAGGUGCGAAAGCGUG